CCUACGGGUGGCAGCAGUCGAGAAUCAUGCACAAUGGGGGAAACCCUGAUGGGGCGACGCCGCGUGGGGGAAUGAAGGUCUGCGGAUUGUAAACCCCUGUCAUGUGGGAGCAAAUUAAAAAGAUAGUACCACAAGAGGAAGAGACGGCUAACUCUGUGCCAGCAGCCGCGGUAAUACAGAGGUCUCAAGCGUUGUUCGGAAUCACUGGGCGUAAAGCGUGCGUAGGCUGUUUCGUAAGUCGUGUGUGAAAGGCGCGGGCUCAACCCGCGGACGGCCCAUGAUACUGCGAGACUAGAGUAAUGGAGGGGGAACCGGAAUUCUCGGUGUAGCAGUGAAAUGCGUAGAUAUCGAGAGGAACACUCGUGGCGAAGGCGGGUUCCUGGACAUUAACUGACGCUGAGGCACGAAGGCCAGGGGAGCGAAAAGGAUUAGAUACCCCAGUAGUC
rnacentral:rRNA from 1 species